ensembl:lncRNA
ACGGUGAGUCCUGUUUCUAAUCACAACAGCUACACACUUUCUAAUCUCCUAAUUACUAAGUUUACACACUUUUUCCUCUAAUUGUUUUCUGUACAGCCGAUCGCAGACUGACACUGCUAUACAACUAUGUGAUGAGUUUGAUCUAUUAUAGUGAGGUUAAACCUGUCCACAUUCAUCUGACAGUCUCUUGUUAUUUAAAUGUACAGUUUUUGGCCGGAUGAAUUUGUACGAUCUCAUUUGUAUAUUUUUUUUAAAUGUUUUUACACCGGUGGUUAGGGUUAGGGAUGGACCUUUGUGCUUGGGUUGGACUAGUGCAUAAAGCACAGCAAGCAUUAAGUAAAAUUCAGUUCAUAAGAUUUCAUAACAUUUUUAGCUAUGUAUUUUGAUAUAUUUUUACCAUUAGCAGUAAACACACAUUUUUGUUGUGUUGUGUAGAUGGUGAUGUGAUUCUGGAGAGUUCUGUUGAUCCUGUGAUUGAGGGAGAUACUCUGACUCUACACUGUUUACAUCGAUCUACAAACUCCUCGAUCCUCAGAGCUGAUUUCUAUAAAGACGGAUCACUCGUCCAGAAUCAGACGACAGGAGAGAUGAGCAUCACGACUGGCUGAAAGUCACAUGAGGGUUUCUACUACUGUAAAACAGAGAGAGGAGAGUCACUGCACAGCUGGAUCUCAGUCAGAGGUGAGUCUGGGAAUAACGAGUGAUUUUAUGUACCUUUAUAAUAAUAUCAUACAGUAUGUGACUCACGAUCAGAUCUGCAUGUGUGUGUUCUCCUGUCUCACAGCUUCAUCUUCUCUUCUGGUCACUGCUGUGGUUGUGGGAUCAAGUGUUUGCUUGUUGAUCUUCAUCUCACUGCUGCUGCUGUGGAGAUACAAGAAGAACAAAGAUCAGCAGCGUAACAUUAACCAGACAUCAGUCCCAAAUCAAUCUGCAGAAUCUCAACCAGAAAACUCUCCUCUACAGUCUGGGAAGAGCAGUGAGUCUGGAGACACUUUGUACUCUGAACUGAAGCACAACACAGACAGAGGUGAGAGAAACACAAGACAAGCUUCAUCACUAUUACAGUCCAACCACUGA